rnacentral:rRNA from 1 species
UACGUAGGUGGCAAGCGUUGUCCGGAUUUACUGGGCGUAAAGAGCGCGCAGGCGGUCGUGCAAGUCGCGUGUGAAAGCCCCCGGCUCAACUGGGGAGGGUCACGCGAUACUGAUCGACUCGAAGGCAGGAGAGGGUAGUGGAAUUCCCGGUGUAGUGGUGAAAUGCGUAGAUAUCGGGAGGAACACCAGUGGCGAAGGCGACUACCUGGACUGUUCUUGACGCUGAGGCGCGAAAGCUAGGGGAGCAAACGGG